GGAACAGGUUGGGCAAUCGCUUCCUUAGGGAAGAGGAAAGUCCGAACACCAAAGGGCAGCGAGCCGGAUAACUUCCGGGCGCCCGAGAAAUCGGGCGACGACAAGUGCAACAGAAAGUAAACCGGCCUUUACUGGCAAAGGGUGAAAUGGUGGGGUAAGAGCCCACCGGCGCGUUUGGCGACAAAUGCGGCCAGGCAAACUCCUCGUGGUGCAAGAUCAAAUAGGAAUUCGCGUUUUGCGGGCGGCCCGUCCGCUGCGGUCGAUUUAUUCGCUGCCGUGAAUUCGGGUAGAUCGCUGGAGCCUGUUGGCAAUGGCGGGCCUAGAUGAAUGAUUGCCGGAUGCUUCGGCAUCCACAGAAUUCGGCUUACAGGCCUGUUCCGAUU
rnacentral:RNase_P_RNA from 1 species